rnacentral:rRNA from 1 species
AUUGAACGCUGGCGGCAUGCCUUACACAUGCAAGUCGAACGGCAGCACGGGAGCAAUCCUGGUGGCGAGUGGCGAACGGGUGAGUAAUAUAUCGGAACGUGCCCAGUCGUGGGGGAUAACGCAGCGAAAGCUGUGCUAAUACCGCAUACGAUCUAAGGAUGAAAGCGGGGGAUCGCAAGACCUCGCGCGAUUGGAGCGGCCGAUAUCAGAUUAGCUAGUUGGUGGGGUAAAGGCCCACCAAGGCGACGAUCUGUAGCUGGUCUGAGAGGACGACCAGCCACACUGGAACUGAGACACGGUCCAGACUCCUACGGGAGGCAGCAGUGGGGAAUUUUGGACAAUGGGCGCAAGCCUGAUCCAGCAAUGCCGCGUGCAGGAUGAAGGCCUUCGGGUUGUAAACUGCUUUUGUACGGAACGAAACGGCCCUUUCUAAUACAGGGGGCUAAUGACGGUACCGUAAGAACGAGCACCGGCUAACUACGUGCCAGCCGCCGCGGUAA